UGGGACGUGGCCUAAUUGGUAGGGCAAUUCGUUUUGGUCGAAAAGAUUGUUAGUUCGAGUCUAACCGUCCCAG
rnacentral:tRNA from 1 species